rnacentral:rRNA from 1 species
UACGAGGGGGGCAAGCGUUGUUCGGAAUUAUUGGGCGUAAAGGGCGCGUAGGCGGUUUGACAAGUCUGAUGUGAAAUCUCUGGGCUCAACCCAGAGUCUGCAUUAGAAACUGUCGGGCUUGAGUAUGGGAGAGGUGAGUGGAAUUUCCGGUGUAGCGGUGAAAUGCGUAGAUAUCAGGAGGAACACCGGUGGUGUAGACGGCUUUCUGGACCGUAACUGACGCUGAGACACGAAAGCGUGGGUAGCAAACAG